rnacentral:rRNA from 1 species
GUGGCGACCGGCGCACGGGUGAGUAACGCGUAUGCAACCUACCUUUAACUGGGGGAUAGCCCGGGGAAACUCGGAUUAAUACCCCAUAACAUUAUGAAUUCGCAUGGAUUUAUAAUUAAAGUUCCGGCGGUUAAAGAUGGGCAUGCGUGCCAUUAGAUAGUUGGUGAGGUAACGGCUCACCAAGUCUUCGAUGGCUACGGGGUCUUAAAGGAUGAUCCCGCACACUGGUACUGAGACACGGACCAGACUCC